rnacentral:tRNA from 1 species
ACAGCGGUGUGCGAGUGGUUAUGGAGUUUGACUAGAAAUCAAAUGGGCUCUGCCCGCGCAGGUUCGAAUCCUGUUCGCUGCG